rnacentral:piRNA from 1 species
UUCAACUGCGACUUUUGUGUGUCCUGAGC